rnacentral:rRNA from 3 species
CAACUUUCAGCAACGGAUCUCUUGGCUCUCGCAUCGAUGAAGAACGCAGCGAAAUGCGAUAAGUAAUGUGAAUUGCAGAAUUCAGUGAAUCAUCGAAUCUUUGAACGCACCUUGCGCUCCUUGGUAUUCCGAGGAGCAUGCCUGUUU